CGUUGAGAGUUUGAUCCUGGCUCAGAUUGAACGCUGGCGGCAGGCCUAACACAUGCAAGUCGAGCGGUAACAGAAAGUAGCUUGCUACUUUGCUGACGAGCGGCGGACGGGUGAGUAAUGCUUGGGAACAUGCCUUGAGGUGGGGGACAACAGUUGGAAACGACUGCUAAUACCGCAUAAUGUCUACGGACCAAAGGGGGCUUCGGCUCUCGCCUUUAGAUUGGCCCAAGUGGGAUUAGCUAGUUGGUGAGGUAAUGGCUCACCAAGGCAACGAUCCCUAGCUGGUUUGAGAGGAUGAUCAGCCACACUGGAACUGAGACACGGUCCAGACUCCUACGGGAGGCAGCAGUGGGGAAUAUUGCACAAUGGGCGAAAGCCUGAUGCAGCCAUGCCGCGUGUGUGAAGAAGGCCUUCGGGUUGUAAAGCACUUUCAGUCAGGAGGAAAGGGUGUGAGUUAAUACCUCACAUCUGUGACGUUACUGACAGAAGAAGCACCGGCUAACUCCGUGCCAGCAGCCGCGGUAAUAC
rnacentral:rRNA from 1 species